rnacentral:rRNA from 1 species
AGUGAACGCUGGCGGUAGGCCUAACACAUGCAAGUCGAACGGCAGCACAGUAAGAGCUUGCUCUUACGGGUGGCGAGUGGCGGACGGGUGAGGAAUACAUCGGAAUCUACUUUUUCGCGGGGGAUAACGUAGGGAAACUUACGCUAAUACCGCAUACGACCUACGGGUGAAAGCAGGGGAUCUUCGGACCUUGCGCGAUUGAAUGAGCCGAUGUCGGAUUAGCUAGUUGGCGGGGUAAAGGCCCACCAAGGCGACGAUCCGUAGCUGGUCUGAGAGGAUGAUCAGCCACACUGGAACUGAGACACGGUCCAGACUCCUACGGGAGGCAGCAGUGGGGAAUAUUGGACAAUGGGCGCAAGCCUGAUCCAGCCAUGCCGCGUGGGUGAAGAAGGCCUUCGGGUUGUAAAGCCCUUUUGUUGGGAAAGAAAAGCAGCAGGUUAAUACCCCGCUGUUCUGACGGUACCCAAAGAAUAAGCACCGGCUAACUUCGUG